AAAAAAAAAAAAAGAGAAAAAAAAAAAAAAAAAAAAAAAAAAAAAAAAAAAAAAAAAAAAAAAAAAAAAAAGGGGGGGGGAGAAAAAAAAGG